AUGCUCUCUUGGCAGCACAUAUACUAAAAUUGGAACGAUACAAAAAGGAUUAGCGUGGCCCCUGAGCAAGAACGACCUGCAAAUUUGUUCCAUGUUUUG
rnacentral:snRNA from 1 species